rnacentral:rRNA from 1 species
ACCGGCGCACGGGUGAGUAACGCGUAUGCAACUUACCUAUCAGGAGGGGGAUAACCCGGCGAAAGUCGGACUAAUACCGCAUGAAGCAGGGGCCCCGCAUGGGGAUAUUUGCUAAAGAUUCAUCGCUGAUAGAUAGGCAUGCGUUCCAUUAGGCAGUUGGCGGGGUAACGGCCCACCAAACCGACGAUGGAUAGGGGUUCUGAGAGGAAGGUCCCCCACAUUGGUACUGAGACACGGACCAAACUCCUACGGGAGGCAGCAUG